UACGGGGGGAGCAAGCGUUGUUCGGAUUUACUGGGCGUAAAGGGCGCGUAGGCGGUCGUGACAAGUCACUUGUGAAAUCUCCGGGCUUAACUCGGAACGGUCAAGUGAUACUGUCGGACUAGAGUACAGAAGGGGCAACUGGAAUUCUCGGUGUAGCGGUGAAAUGCGUAGAUAUCAAGAGGAACACCUGCGGCGAAGGCGGGUUGCUGGGCCGACACUGACGCUGAGGCGCGAAAGCUAGGGGAGCGAACGGG
rnacentral:rRNA from 1 species